CCUACGGGAGGCAGCAGUGGGGAAUAUUGCACAAUGGGGGAAACCCUGAUGCAGCAACGCCGCGUGAGUGAAGAAGGAGUUCGGGAGGUAAAGCUCGAUCAGCAGGGAAGAAGAGGACGGUACCUGAGUAAGAAGCCCCGGCUAACUACGUGCCAGCAGCCGCGGUAAUACGUAGGAUUCAAGCGUUAUCCGGAGUUAUUGGGUUUAAAGGGUGCGUAGGCGGUCGGAUAAGUUAGAGGUGAAAUCCCGAGUCUCAACUUCGGACUUGCCUCUGAUACGGUUCGGCUAGAGCGUAGUUGCUGUCGGCGGCCUGUCUGGUGUAGCGGUGACAUGCUUAGAGCUCAUACAGCACCCCGAUUGCGACGGCAGCUUACCCAGCUACUUCUGCCGUUGCGGCACGCCAGCGUGGGGAGCACACCGGAUUAGAUACCCUUGUAGUC
rnacentral:rRNA from 1 species